GCCUACGGGGGGCAGCAGUGGGGGAUAUUGCGCAAUGGGGGCAACCCUGACGCAGCAACGCCGCGUGAAGGAUGAAGGUUUUCGGAUUGUAAACUUCUUUUAUUAAGGACGUAAAUUGACGGUACUUAAUGAAUAAGCUCCGGCUAACUACGUGCCAGCAGCCGCGGUAAUACGUAGGGAGCAAGCGUUGUCCGGAUUUACUGGGUGUAAAGGGUGCGUAGGCGGCUUUGCAAGUCAGAUGUGAAAUCUAUGGGCUCAACCCAUAAACUGCAUUUGAAACUGUAGAGCUUGAGUGAAGUAGAGGCAGGCGGAAUUCCCCGUGUAGCGGUGAAAUGCGUAGAGAUGGGGAGGAACACCAGUGGCGAAGGCGGCCUGCUGGGCUUUAACUGACGCUGAGGCACGAAAGCGUGGGUAGCAAACAGGAUUAGAUACCCUAGUAGUCUGG
rnacentral:rRNA from 1 species